rnacentral:lncRNA from 1 species
AAAUUCGUCUAUUCCUUUUUCCAUGCAUAAACUUGGCUUUAUAUGAAGCCUUUAUUACAAAUUUGGUGGUUACAAGCCAACCAACCAAUUAUUCAUUAAAACUAGUAAAUGAAAAUUAAGGAAACUCUUGAAAUAACACAAAAAAAACGUCCAAGACACUUGAGGAUGAAGAAAAAACGUGUAUGCUUCAUUAAGGAGCCAUAAGAAGCAUUAAUGAGCCAUCAGAAGCAUUAAAGUGUAACCCUAAUGCACCAAAGAGUGAUAAAAACGGCUAGGAGGCUUUAUGAAGCAAAAAGUAACGUUUGUAGCACUUAUGAAUCCUUAAAAAUGUUGCCCUAGCCUUCAUGCAACCCUAAUUCAAUUUGUGGGUUACCAUGCAUAACCCAACCAUUGAGCCCAAGCCACCUUCUAGCCCACUAGUAAUCACUAAUCCAUCACCUUUUGGGCUUUCAUAAUCCAUGCAUGGAUCAUCCCCUCCCCCUUUGAAAGGAAUUGACCUCAAUUCAUCAAGUCCAUCAUCAUCAAGAUAAGGUGAAAGCUCUCCCACAUUAAAGGUAGCAUGCAUUCCAUGGUCUCCUCCCAAAUCCACCUUGUAACCAUUAUCAUUUUCAGAAUUUGUCACUUCCACACAUGUAUCAUUCCCUCCUUCUUCGAAAGGAAUUGUCCUCAAUUCAGUAAGAACCAAAUUGUGUUGUUCUCCCAUGCAAACCUUCCAUGACAACAGGUCUUGAAAACAAUUUUUUAUUGCAGAAUGUGACAUUUUAUUUACUCCAAGCUGGUUUCUUCUCCAAAUACACAUGUUCUUCAAACAACUCAAAGAACUCAUAGAAUUGAAUCCUAACCGUAUCUUCAAUUUGUGGAUCAAAAACCAUUUUCGUACCUUCCCAUGAACUCGACCCUGCAAAUUAACCUUGCAAUAAUUUAAAUGGUUAAUUGCAGUCAUUUUAACAAAUGGAACAUCAUUUGUAUUUGUAAGUUGAUGAGCAGCACGCCCCAAUAUCACGACUUCCCAAUUAAAGAGACACCAAAAGAAUAUCAGUCCAAACAUCACGAGCUCCCUCCUAUGUAAAUAAUUAGGACUUGUAUCUUCAUAUUUUCUCUUAGAAAGAUGGUUUGUAAAAAGAUGGAUACCAUCCUUCUUCUUUCGUUCCCAAUAAACUUCACGCCAUCGGUCUUGGUGUUUUUGAACAAUGAAUGAAGAAUUAACGAAAAUAUGUUUUGUUUGUGGACAACAUAGAAAAUUGGCAUAAGAAUUGCCACACAAUGCCUCUUUUGGUGACUGAUUGCUACCACCAUGAACACAUAUUGUUUUGGAAAUCAUCAUAUCGUCUUUUGGAGGGUACAAAAUUCUACCAUCAUCCAAAAAUAAUUCGUCUUCUUGUUUUUGAGCCACGAAUGAAAAGUCUUCAUCUCUAAUUGCACAAAACUUUUUAUCAAAAGUAAUACGCAAGUCAUUUUUCUCCUUUUGAUCAAUGAAUGAAGACAAAACAAAAACAUCAUUAUUAAGAUCAUAAUUAGUAAAAUCCAACAUCUCACCAUGCUUCCUCCUCUCACCAAGGUCUUCAAAAUGUAAAAUAUAAGCAUUCCAUGGUCUCCAAAGUGUAAAAAUUUCCCACACUUUGAAACGAACAUGAAGAUGAAAAACAAAUAAAUCUUCUUGAUCAAUGAAGCUUCCAAUUUGGAUUUCUUUAAGAUCUUUAGAAAAGGAGUUAUGUUCAUAAAAGAUAUGAGAACAUGAACUUUUGUGGCACUUAUAGUCAUUGGUUCUCGUGGUUGUAAGCUCUUGGAAUGAAAUUUGUUGUUCAACAAAAAUCACAAUUUCUUCAAUAAUUUUGUCCAUAUCAACAAAAUUGAUUUCCUCCACAAUUGCUUCAACAAAUUCAUCUCCGAUCACGAAAUUAGUUUCUUCGUCAAGUUCUUCAAUAAAUUCCUCUUCAACCAAGAAACUUAUUCUUUCACAAAAUUCCCCUUCUCCAUCGGUGUCGUAGAUGGGACCAGAAUCUUCUACCUCCUCUUCUUCAUCAUAUAGCUUGCGCAACAUUUUUGGACAACAACUGAAUUCAGAACAAGAACUUAGUUACACCCAAUCGGAACUAGGCUCUGAUACCACUUAUGAUGCAUGUAUGGGCUUGAUUUGGUGAGUAGGGUAGUGUUUAGGUAAAUUAAGAGAGAAUAGUAACCACAAAUGAUAUAUGAAUGGAAAGAAAUGGAUAGAUUAGUAACAACUCAAGACCUAUUAAGUUGUAUACCGGUGAAAACAAUCCAAGACCUAUUGGAUUGAGUUCGUAUCAAGUCAAGAACACGUCCUAACAAGAUAAUUUGUGAAUUAUAACAAUAAUUCCAAUUGAACAAAGGUUUUUUUCUUAAAAAUUCGUCUAUUCCUUUUUCCAUGCAUAAACUUGGCUUUAUAUGAAGCCUUUAUUACAAAUUUGGUGGUUACAAGCCAACCAACCAAUUAUUCAUUAAAACUAGUAAAUGAAAAUUAAGGAAACUCUUGAAAUAACACAAAAAAAACGUCUAAGACACUUGAGGAUGAAGAAAAAACGUUUAUGCUUCAUUAAGGAGCCAUAAGAAGCAUUAAUGAGCCAUCAGAAGCAUUAAAGUGUAACCCUAAUGCACCAAAGAGUGAUAAAAACGGCUAGGAGGCUUUAUGAAGCAAAAAGUAACGUUUGUAGCACUUAUGAAUCCUUAAAAAUGUUGCCCUAGCCUUCAUGCAACCCUAAUUCAAUUUGUGGGUUACCAUGCAUAACCCAACCAUUGAGCCCAAGCCACCUUCUAGCCCACUAGUAAUCACUAAUCCAUCACCUUUUAGGCUUUCAUAAUCCAUGCAUGGAUCAUCCCCUCCCCCUUUGAAAGGAAUUGACCUCAAUUCAUCAAGUCCAUCAUUAUCAAGAUAAGGUGAAAGAUCUCCCACAUUAAAGGUAGCAUGCAUUCCAUGGUCUCCUCCCAAAUCC